rnacentral:lncRNA from 8 species
GCCUUUUGGAGUGGGUCUGUGGACUUUUCCAUGUGAAUGUUAAAGUCACCAAAAAUUAGAAUAUUAUCUGCUAUGACUACAAGAUCCGAUAGGAAUUCAGGGAACUCAGUGAGGAACACUGCAUAUGGCCCAGGAGGCCUAUAAACAGUAGCUAUAAAAAGUGAGUGAGUAGGCUGCAUAGAUUUCAUGACUAGAAGCUCAAAAGACGAAAACGUCAUUGUUGUUUUUUUUUUUGUAAAUUGAAAUUUGCUAUCGUAAAUGUUAGCAACACCUCCGCCUUUGCCGGAUGCACGGGGGGUAUGGUCACUAAUGUAACCUGGGGGUGAGGCCUCAUUUAACACAGUAAAUUCAUCAGGCUUAAGCCAUGUUUCAGUCAGGCCAAUCACAUCAAGAUUAUUAUCAGUGAUUAGUUCAUUGACUAUAACUGCCUUGGAAGUGAGGGAUCUAACAUUAAGUAACCCAAUUUUGAGAUGUGAGGUAUCACAAUCUCUUUCAAUAAUGGCAGGAAUGGAGGAGGUCUUUAUACUAGUGAGAUUGCUAAAGCGAACACCGCCAUUUUUAAUUUUGCCCAACCUAGAUCGAGGCACAGACACGGUCUCAAUGGGGGAAGCUGAGCUGACUACACUGACUGUGCUAGUGGCAGACUCCACUAAGCUGGCAGGCUGGCUAACAGCCUGCUGCCUGGCCUGCACCCUAUUUCAUUGUGGAGCUAGAGGAGUUAGAGCCCUGUCUAUGUUCGUAGAUAAGAUGAGAGCACCCCUCCAGCUAGGAUGGAGUCCGUCACUCCUCAACAGACGAUAGCAUCAUUUGAAGGCAAAUGUGAAGCAGUUGAUUGGCCAGUUCCUGUAAAUGACCACAAAACAGGGUUUUCACAGAAGAUAACCUUCUCUCCAGCCCGCACACUCUAUGGCCUUAUACGAGCAAAGCUGAGGGACCUUUUAACUCUAUCCGCUCGAGAAGAAGGUGUGGCUAAGGAUGCUUCUCUUCAGGAGUCUUCAGACACCCUGGAAAAGGCAACUGUUUCAACUGUUGAGGUCCAGUUACCCAGCACCAAACUUAGUAGAGUUCCCAGUGAGAGCCAACCAAUACCAGCUCUCUGUCUCUCCAAUCUGGAUAACAGCACUCAAGAAGUUCUUAGCAGUGUUUUUUCCAUCUACAAGUCAGAGUUAUCAAAAGUGGAGAGUAAAUGCUUGGCCGUUGUCAGUUCAUCUGAUGAGUCCCUAGAUGCUUGUUGGCUUGUUGAUGGUGUCCUAUCAAAGCUUGAUGACUAUACUAUUUCCCAGUCACCCUCACCCAAUGAAGACUUGAGUGUGAGUACUCAAUGUUCUCAACUGAGCUCAGAAGAGAGUGUCAGAAUCACACAGUCCUCUACUAGUCUGAUUCAGAGCAUUAAGAAGCUCUCUAGCAAUGACUUUCAGACUCAGGCAGAAGAGGCAGUGAGUAAAGUGCUGAUGAGAUCCAGUCAUUCCUUUAUCACACAGAUCAGCCAUACUGGUCUUCAGAAAAGUCUGCAGGCUGGCUUAUCAUCUAGCUUGCCAUCAGAGAUUGCCUCCAUGUCCUCUCAGAAUACAGCCCCUGGAUUAGUGGAAACCUUUGUCAAAGGAAUGGCGACUAUUUUCCAGAAAAAUGAGUCCACUGACACUGUGCUCCUGGAAAGAAGUGGGAGAGUUUUGCAGUGCUCCCACGGGGGCUCCCAACUGGAUGAUACUGAAUUGAGUGUUAAAAUAUCAGAAGAGAAGCUUUGGUCAACAGCUAAGACCAUCUGCGUCAAUAUGAAGAACAUACUUAAGGAUUUCUUCACAGGGCUGAAGCCAUCCGGAUCCGAAAGGACAGAAAAUGCUUCUUCCAAAGAGACCCUUGGGCAAAUCCUGGUUGCUAUCCAGAGUGAAAUCUCAAACUUCGGGCGAAUUAAGGAUUCCAGGGAGCUCCUUCAGAUCAACGAUAUGGUAGGAACUAUGCUGAAGGAGGUUGAGAAAAGUGAGGAUGACAGUGAACAAGUCUGCCAAGACAUCCCUAGAACCUGUUCAUCUUUGGCCACUUCUUUAAAGGGUCGUAGUUCCUUGUCUAGCUCUUCAAAGGGUCCUAGGUCAGAGUGUGAGUUAGAGAUCAACCUCCCUGGCACUCCCAUCCCUGACGAAGUGCCUUUUGAUCUGACCUGCCCCAUCGUCAGGAGCUCCUGCAUCGACACCAGGGACUCUAAAAUGCCAGAGAUUUCUACAAGUGACCUAAGGACAAAGAUGAUGGCACACACAGAUGAACCCCUGCAUCGUAACAGUCCAAUGACUGACAGCAGCCGACCACCGAGUGCUAAAGCCUCUUUUCGAUCCUCCACUAUUCCAUCUUUCACCAGCAAGGGAACCUCUUUGGUACCAAAGGGAGAUGGGAUUGACAUUGAAGAGAAGGAGGUGAGCAUCCCCAGCAGCUCUGGCCAUCUGAGGGAGCUCUUAAUCAGGCCAGACAUCAGCAGUGCCACUGCAUUCCCACUGCAGUACUUGAUGGACUCCAGCAAAGAUGAUGUCAUCUGUUUGGUCACCGUACUGGUGAUAAGGUUGCUAUCGAAGAUCAGACCCUCAGCCCUAGAUGGACCCUUCCAACAGGCACCAGACAUGACAGAAACAUCUCAGCAACUCAUCAGACAAGUCCUGUCUGAGUUCUGUGCUGCAUCCAGUUUCUCCAGGACACAGGAAUAUUCCCAGAACCUGCACAUCCACAGGGUGUUCAGAGGUGUACAUAAAAACUUGAUGGAGGAGUUUGGCUCUUAUAACACCCUGCAAGCAGCUAUUUCCUCCCAGGACCCUGCAUUUGACAGAGUCCUGGUAAAGUCGUUGACCCAGCAGCUGGUACAGGGACGCAAGGAGGCGUCAAGACCAGCUUCUGCUGCAACAAACCCAGCAGACCAGGCUGAGACAGAGAGGGGGGCUGAGCAGAAAGCAAGAAGGAGCUUCCUUUGCUUUUCAAUGACCAAACUCAGGAUCAACUUCAAGCGUUCCAAGAGAGAAAACAAAAAGGACUGCCGUUCAGUCCAGGAACAGACUGAGAUUCCCUCUACUGAUGGACAUUGCAUAGGUAAGGAUGUUUUAGAGCUCUGCUAUAGCUUGUAGUUUUGUUUAGGUGUGUGUUAGAAACAUAGAGUAUGCCUACCAAACUCAUUGCACUGUUAUUUAUCAAAGUUAUUAUACUGUAUUUCUCUCUCUCUCUCUCUCUCUCUCCCUCCCCAUCCAUUUCUCUUGUGUUUCUAGCUCCACACAUUGAGGCUCAUGGUGCUGAAUCUCCAGUUGGAGAGGUUUCUCCCUCCAUAUCUCAGCCUAUCAAAAAACAAUCCUUGAUUGUCAGGGUCUUUUCAGCAAUGAUGAAGCCAUUCAGGCGCUUCACCAAGAAGAACCUGUAACCUGUUACGCUGCAUGAAGAACUACUUUUGUAACAGCAAGACUUUUGAUAAGAGGAAUUUCUGCAUGUCUACCCUUUCAAAGUCUAUUUGAUCAAAUAAAUGCAAAUUAUUUUACAAGAGUUUCAAGUGUUUUGGAUGAUUGGUAGCACCGAAGCAGCUUUUCUCAGAGAAAUGCACUAGUUCCCCCUUGGUUACACAUUUAUUGUGCAGUUUUUGAGUUGGCAGGACUUGGGGCGGCAGAUAGCCUUGUGGUUAGAGCGUUAGAGCGUUGGGUCAGCAACCGAGAGGUUGCUAGAUCAAAUCCCUGAGCUGACAAGGUAAAAAUCUGUUGUUCUGCCCCUGAACAAGGCAGUUAACCCACUGUUCCUAGGCUGCCACUGUAAAUAAGAAUUUGUUCUUAACAACUUGUCUUAUAAAAUAAUCAGAGCUUGUCUCUAAUA